UGUUUACAGAGCUGAUAUUUAACUGUUUCUAUUUGGCUGCAUUUUAUUGUCACAUUUGUGACAUGCAGUUAGUUGUGCCUUUAAUAGAACUUUGAAUAUGGGAAUGUUAUUGAAGCGUUCAUUAAAAUGUUUGUUUCUAGGGACAGGAUCUGCCAACUCUACAUGACUGAAUCUCUGUAAUUCUUUCUUUGGCAAACCCAAUUCCACUCUCUCAAAGUAAGCAGAGGUAAUGUCUCAGAAUGAGGCCAAAGGUUGCUAAAAAUUAUCAGCAAUAAGUUCUUGACCUUUUCUUUCAGCUUCUGGGAUAACCUUUGUCAUCCACAACCAUGAACCUAGAUUUUUGACAUGCCAGUUUUUAACUUUGUUGUUUCCUUUUUUUUUUUUUUUCUAGGAAGAAUCCAUAUGAAGGAAAGAGUUUUGAAUUAAUAGAAGACUUCAGUUAAGCUUACCUCCAUUGGGAGCUAAAUCCUCUACACCAAAGAUAAAAGGUCAGCUCUUUGUACAGCAAGGGUUGGGUGAACCUGUAUCCUCUACCCAUAUCAUAUUACAGAUUGAGGAAGUUCAGCACUUGAGAGGAGCACUGUGUUCUACCAUCUAGAAACAGGAAAGAAACCUGUAUGGUGUGGCAGUAAAUGCAAUUUGUAGAAGUAAACAUCAGAGGAGGAAUGUUCCUUUAAUACACUGCAUUAGUUUAUACAGCAUUUUAUAAAGUAUGUCUUAAAAACAUGCUGAGUGAAAAAUUUUAUUCCAAAAUUAAAUAAAAUCUAAUGGAUCAGUUCA
rnacentral:lncRNA from 1 species